rnacentral:rRNA from 1 species
UACGUAGGGGGCAAGUGUUAUCCGGAUUUACUGGGUGUAAAGGGAGCGUAGGCGGUAAUGCAAGUCAGAAGUGAAAGCCCGGGGCUCAACUCCGGGACUGCUUUUGAAACUGUGUUGCUAGAUUGCAGGAGAGGUAAGUGGAAUUCCUAGUGUAGCGGUGAAAUGCGUAGAUAUUAGGAGGAACACCAGUGGCGAAGGCGGCUUACUGGACUGUAAAUGACGCUGAGGCUCGAAAGCGUGGGGAGCAAACAGG